UGGGGGAUAUUGCACAAUGGGCGAAAGCCUGAUGCAGCGACGCCGCGUGGGGGAUGAAGGCUUUCGGGUUGUAAACCUCUUUCGCUAUCGAACAAGGCCCGCUUAGGGUGGGUUGAGGGUAGGUGGAGAAGAAGCGCCGGCUAACUACGUGCCAGCAGCCGCGGUAAUACGUAGGGCGCGAGCGUUGUUCGGAAUAAUUGGGCGUAAAGGGCUUGUAGGCGGCUUGUUGCGCCUGCUGUGAAAACGCGGGGCUUAACUUCGCGCGUGCAGUGGGUACGGGCAGGCUUGAGUGUGGUAGGGGUGACUGGAAUUCCAGGUGUAGCGGUGGAAUGCGCAGAUAUCUGGAGGAACACCGAUGGCGAAGGCAGGUCACUGGGCCAUUACUGACGCUGAGGAGCGAAAGCAUGGGUAGCGAACAGG
rnacentral:rRNA from 1 species